rnacentral:rRNA from 1 species
UACGUAGGGCGCAAGCGUUGUCCGGAAUUAUUGGGCGUAAAGAGCUCGUAGGCGGUCUGUCGCGUCUGCUGUGAAAACUCAGGGCUUAACCCUGAGCUUGCAGUGGGUACGGGCAGACUAGAGUGCGGUAGGGGAGACUGGAAUUCCUGGUGUAGCGGUGAAAUGCGCAGAUAUCAGGAGGAACACCGGUGGCGAAGGCGGGUCUCUGGGCCGUAACUGACGCUGAGGAGCGAAAGCAUGGGGAGCGAAUGGG